UGUAUUCUUGAUAAGGAUAUUAUCAGUGUUCGAUCCACUGAGGAAUUA
rnacentral:tRNA from 11 species